rnacentral:lncRNA from 1 species
AAAGCUGAAGGUUAAAGAGAAUCAGUGGCAUGGACUCCUCUUACCACAGUCAACACUCUCACGUCCUCCUUCCCACAAUAAGAGAUCAUGCAUUCUUUCCUGCAAAAGAACAGAACAACAGAGCACUUCUGCACAUGACCAGAUUUUCCAGCACUACUCCUAAGGCACCAAGGAAUCCCAAACCUUUUGCACAAUGUACCCCCCAUCCCACCUCUGCACCAAGGAACCAGACCUCCUUGCACAACCUUAAUAAGCCCUGCGAUAACAUCUGUAGCUGACACCACUGAGUCUGCAAUCAAUAAAUGUUAUAGACUACUGCACUCCCUUAAUUGAUUAGUUGCCCUAAACCCCUUUAAAAAUCUCUGGGCCAGGCAAAAACCUUGGAGUUUGCUUUUGGUUAAGAGUCCACCCUUCCCCCAGAUGACUGGCAGACUGAAUAAAGCCCAA